AAUAACCAAUACAUUGGGUUAUUGCACGGUGGAUAUCAUGCACAUUUGUAUUGUGUUUGCUGUAAUAUAGGACAUUAUCGGUUCGCAUAGAUCGAGGAUGACCAAUGGAACAAUCCGUUUUAGAUAUGUGGAUAUUUCUGCAAAGAAAGAUUGACUGGUUGAGAGAUUGAGAAAGCACCCUGAAUGAAGAAACCAGGGAGUUAAUUAUGUAAGAGAUUUUAAUUAAUCUGCCCAAAAUAAAUUCGAAGAGAAAAUGGCAGCAUUUGGGCUUUUCUGAUACUCUCA